rnacentral:misc_RNA from 1 species
CCGAGUUAGGGUCUCUCAUGGCCCGAUCUCCCAACCCUUGUGUUUAACUAAAUCACGUUGCUUCGGCGGGCCCGUCUCCUCUGGGGACCGCCGGACUUGGUUUCAAGUCUGGCCCGUUGCCCGUCGAUAGCCCAACCUUUAAAACUCUUGAUAAAACCAUGUCGUCUGAGUAUAAAACAUUUAAUUUUAAAUUA